rnacentral:rRNA from 1 species
AGCGGCGCAAGGGUGCGUAACACGUGGGCAAUCUGCCAUGAAGUUUGGAAUAACUUGCUGAAAGGCGAGCUAAUGCCGGAUGUGAACGUCGGGAGGCAUCUCCUGACGUUUAAAGCUGGGGACCGUAAGGCCUGGCGCUUCAUGAUGAGCCCGCGGCCUAUCAGCUAGUUGGUGAGGUAACGGCCCACCAAGGCUAAGACGGGUAGCUGGUCUGAGAGGACGACCAGCCACACUGGAACUGAGACACGGUCCAGACACCUACGGGUGGCAGCAGUCGAGAAUUUUUCACAAUGGGCGAAAGCCUGAUGGAGCGACGCCGCGUGGGGGAUGAAUGGCUUCGGCCCGUAAACCCCUGUCAUUCGGGAUCAAUGCCUGCGGUCUAAUACGUCGCAGGUUGAUAGUACCGGAAGAGGAAGGGACGGCUAACUCUGUGCCAGCAGCCGCGGUAAUACAGAGGUCCCAAGCGUUGUUCGGAUUUACUGGGCGUAAAGGGUGCGUAGGUGGUCGGGUAAGUCUGAUGUGAAAUCUCCGAGCUUAACUCGGAAACUGCAUUGGA